GAAGUUGCUUUUUUUGUUUCCUGUUUUAAUCCCAUUUAACAACAUUUAGCCAGAUGAGUUUAAAAAUGUUAAAAUAUUACAUUUAAAAUAUUUUCAUAUAAAAAACUGAAUAUUAGUAAAGAAAUAAUAAAUGCCAACUAGUUUUUUUCUCUCGUUUUAAUAAUUUGUUUAAAAACAUUUAGUCAGAUUUAUGUUUAAAUUAUAAAGACAUUCUGAAAACCCAACUACUUUGCAUCCCAAGUGGCCUAAUGCAUAUUGUUACUAUUGUUCAAAGUACUGUUUACAUACGUGAUUUGUCAUGGUGACAUUGCCUAAUGCAACUGAAAGCAUUAAUAAAAGCACGCGUGCGAGUCUAUUGUGAUACAUUAUGAUGUUCCAGGUAUGUGUUUACAAUGAGAGACACGAGAAACACGUUUGUUCUGUUUCCCCCAGCAGGAGAAGGAGUGUAAAGGUUCUCUCUCUCUCUCUCUCUCUCUCUCUCUCUCUCUCUCUCUCUCUCUCUCUCUGUAAAGUUCUUUAACCUGUCUUAUCGCAGCUAUUGUUAGCGGUUUGUCCGUGGGUGCCGGUAAAUAAGGCAGCGGCAGCGGCAGCUAAUUCCCUUGACAUUUACACAUCUCUCACGGUGACUCACUUUCGGCUGGAAGGUAGAGAGAAAGCCAAAGUUAUCAAAAGACGGAUUUAUUGUUAUUCAUCCCUUCGUGGGGUUCAUAAACCGCGCUAGUCCCGUGUGUGUAUCUCGCCAUCCACGCCCACGCACUCGCUGUUGUUGACAGUGCCUGGCGUUCUUUCCUACAUUUACCUCAGUGACUGUAAUCUCAGAGAGCGCGUCAGCGUACCGGCUAGUGCGUCAUAAGAGGAAGCAUCACCUCACGGCGAGUGCACAGCCGUCGCGCGGCAAACGGAACACAGCACUGCCAUCUAUCUCAUGCUGCUGCUCUAAACAAAUCCCUGUCUCUAAUCCUCAAAUGCAACCAUUUACAUUCCCUUUCAAGGUCCGACAACAAAGGAAUGCUACACUAAGGCGGCUCGAGGGAGUUCAACGCGGGAUUCACAAAGCGAUUUCUGUUGAAAGAUGGAUCAGUAUCCUGUUUAUUUGGACCAGCUGCUCCACUGAAUCACAACCCGUAAGUAUGAUAAAUAAUAGAUGUUUAUAUUUUCUAUUGAACGUUCAAAAUACAGAACUACUAAAAUAGGCGUAUCGUUUCUGACAUGCGCUGUACGUGGUAGACCAAUCACAUAAGGGUAGGCCAUCUGACCAAUCAGAGCAGAGCAGGCUUACGGAAAGGAGGGGUUUAGAGAGACUGAAUCUUUGAACUGCUUCGAACAAAUCAUUUGAAAAUCGCUGGAAAAUGAGGUGAUACUAAAUGCACAUUUUGAGAAUGCAUGCAUGUAAUCCUAUUGUGGGAGACUCCCAAAACAAUAUUAGGAACCAAGAAAAUGG
ensembl:lncRNA